CAAAAUAAAUCCAACUUGAUUCUUCUGCUUAAAUUUUCUCUAUAGGCGUUUCUGCUAGAACAAACAUAGAAAAGCCUAUAUCUCCUCUUUCAUAUCAAACAACAAUUUGUUUUAGAUAAUAAAGAUUUAACAUUCAAUUCAAUAUUUUUGUUAAGUAAAUUAGAGCUAACUUUCAUCUUUAAUGUCGACUCAUAAAAUUGAUUAAUUAGCAUUUUAUUCAAAAUAGGUAGAAUUUUACAAACAUUCUACAUGUACUUUGUUUUCUUAAUGGUUUCAGAUGGUCGAAAAAGUGAAGUGAGGUUCAACAAUGAAGAUGGAGGAUUCAAGUUAGUUUCUGGUGGCUAUCGAUGGUGAAACGGGGAGGGAUGGUGUUUCGAUUUUUUGGUGAUGGUAGAGAUCUGACGAUUACAUAGUGGUUUAAAGGUGUUUCAAGGCUGGUCGGACUUGUUUGGUGGUGGAGAUGAUACAUGUUGUCAACUUCAGACCUAUAUGUUCUCUAAUAUUCCUUUCCAAAUUUCCAAAUCAAUCAAUGGAAGCUUAGUUCUGUAAUAUUCAUUCCUCUGUUCCAUUAACCCGUCUCAUAAAGCUCUUAGACAAACAUAAAUUCAAAACCAUAAUAGUUAUGGACUUGGUCUUGAGUUCAUUUUGGUGGUUAGUAGAUCAGGUUUAAUUUUAUAAGCAAGUUAAAAUGAUUUUAUAAUGUUUAGAUUUAAUUAGGUAAAAAAAU